rnacentral:rRNA from 1 species
CAGCAGCCGCGGGAAUACGUAGGGUGCAAGCGUUAAUCGGAAUUACUGGGCGUAAAGCGUGCGCAGGCGGUUAUAUAAGACAGAUGUGAAAUCCCCGGGCUCAACCUGGGAACUGCAUUUGUGACUGUAUAGCUAGAGUACGGCAGAGGGGGAUGGAAUUCCGCGUGUAGCAGUGAAAUGCGUAGAUAUGCGGAGGAACACCGAUGGCGAAGGCAAUCCCCUGGGCCUGUACUGACGCUCAUGCACGAAAGCGUGGGGAGCAAACAGGAUUAGAUAUCCGGGUAGUCCCUGUCUCUUAUAC